GACGAACGCUGGCGGCGUGCCUAACACAUGCAAGUCGAACGGACGAGGCCCCUUCGGGGACCGAGUUAGUGGCGAACGGGUGAGUAGCGCGUGAGCAACCUGCCUUUCAGAGGGGGACAACAGUUGGAAACGACUGCUAAUACCGCAUAACACAUUCGGGGGGCAUCCCCUGAAUGUCAAAGAUUUAUCGCUGAAAGAUGGGCUCGCGUCUGAUUAGCUAGUUGGUGAGGUAACGGCUCACCAAGGCGACGAUCAGUAGCCGGACUGAGAGGUUGAACGGCCACAUUGGGACUGAGAUACGGCCCAGACUCCUACGGGAGGCAGCAGUGGGGAAUAUUGGGCAAUGGGGGAAACCCUGACCCAGCAACGCCGCGUGAAGGAAGAAGGCUUUCGGGUUGUAAACUUCUUUUACCAGGGACGAAGACGUGACGGUACCUGGAGAAAAAGCCACGGCUAACUACGUG
rnacentral:rRNA from 1 species